rnacentral:rRNA from 1 species
GAGAGUUUGAUCCUAGCUCAGGGUGAACGCUGGCGGCGUGUCUAAGGCAUGCAAGUCGAACGCCUAUUCCUUCUUCGGAUAGAAUAGGAGUGGCAAACGGGUGAGUAACACAUUGGUAACAUACCUCUGACUCGUGAACAACUCGGAGAAAUCUGAGCUAAUACACGAUGGUCUGCACUGGCAUGAGUCGGUGCAGUAAAGAUUUAUCGGUCAGAGAGUGGCCUAUGGCCUAUCAGCUAGUUGGUAAGGUAAAAGCUUACCAAGGCUACGACGGGUAGCGGGUGUGAGAGCACGACCCGCCUCACUGGGACUGAGACACUGCCCAGACUCCUACGGGAGGCUGCAGUCGAGAAUUUUCCUCAAUGCACGAAAGUGUGAAGGAGCGACGCCGCGUGGUUGAUGAAACCCUUCGGGGUGUAAAAAUCUUUUUUCUGGGAAGAACUAAUGACUGUACCAGAAGAAUAAGGGGCUGCUAAACUCGUGCCAGCAGCAGCGGUAAUACGAGUGCCCCAAGCGUUACCCGGAUUUAUUGGGCGUAAAGCGUGCGUAGGUGGUCUAUUAAGUCAGUGGUUAAAUCCUUCGGCUCAACCGGGGAAUCGCCACUGAUACUGUUAGACUUGAGUUUGGAAGAGGUAAGCGGAAUUGCCGGUGUAGGGGUUAAAUCCGUUAAUAUCGGCAGGAACACCAAAUGCGAAGGCAGCUUACUAGGACAAUACUGACA